AUAAUGCAAAGACAGUGUUUUAUAGAAUGCUAUCAAAAAAGUUCACAUACUUUGCAUCCAAUUUUUAACAAAUUUGGUGGCAACAACUGAAAUGGUAAGUGUGUCUUAAUGAACCUUCUUUCCGUUGUUUCGGCCAAUAUUUUCCAUGCCGGUGCUGUAACCUCGUUAAUGAGAGCACAUUUUUCAUCAGAAUGACGAUUUUCGUUCAAAAAUUCUUCCUUGACAUCUGGGUGGACAAAAGAACUAAAUCUACGAUUUCAAAAAUUGUGAGAAAGAAGUUAAAAAUAAAUAAAAUAUUACUCCAAGAAAGGAAAUCUGGCAUCGAGGGGAAUUUGAGAGGCUUUUUCGUAAUUCAAAUCAUUUGACAAUAACCAUAACAAUUCUUGUGCCCAUGUGGUACCUGUGCCAUUGAUUAUAAGUAAAGAAUAAUAGUUGUUUAUGUACUAUAAAGGCUACCUACAUAUUGUUUUGCUUGUUCAAAUUAUUAAAAUAAUUUAUUAAGUUAUUUAUUAUUAAUCAAUAAUGAACAAAUGAAAUAAGAAAGUAAACAAAUGAGUUGGUAGAACUGUACCUGAUCGCGGGAAUGUCACAAUCCAAACAUCAGUAGGCCUUGGUUGAAAAUUAUAAUAGAUUUCAAGGGUUUUCUUAAAAGCGUUAGGAAAGAACCAUUUUUUCGGUCCAACUUGUAUGAAUCCUGUCCUUUCGCCUUAAAAACUCAGCUAAUUAGGCUAUCAAUUUUAUUGCUGAUGAGUAUGUACAAAGAAAUGCAUUUUUGCAUAAUUUCAAGGUUUUAAAUUUGAAGUAAUGGAAUGAUAAAAUUUUAUUUAUCACUGAUAUAAACACACAAAGUAUAGAGCACCGUUUGAAAUAUAACUUGCAGCAUUAUUUAUUAAAUUUCUUUGAGAGGAUUGCUUAAUUUGACCCCAAUUCCAAAAUUGGUAAAAAAUUAGCGAUACUCACCUGUGAAAUCUUUCAAAAGUUCCAAAUUAAUUUUUUCGUCAACGUCACUAAUUUUGUAGGGAAAUUGGAGCCACUCAACUUCGUUAUUGUUGUGAAACGCAUCUUUGACUAAAUUUUUGCUGGUUUGUUUAUCCAUCAUCACCAAAGCAUGCAGAACUACUGAGUAAUUCUACAAACUGUUCAUUUCCUCCACUACCACGUGUGCUUUGUCUAUUAUUUACCCGCUUUAUUUGCGUGUCGUUUGAACUCUACAGGUUUGUGAAAGUAAUAGUCUCUAGUCUGUAGUUUUAUACAGAAUUUAAUCAGGCUAUGACUCUGACUAUGUGGAUGGAGUUAAGAAAUAACAUAAUUCAGAUUUUUUUUCAGUAGGUUUUUGAUUCAUAGGAAAAUAUUUUGGUCAAAUAAAAAACAAGUUUGGAGACAUUUAUUUACUUUAUUAAUAUGUAGUUAAAAGUACAAAACAUCUUACUCUUAAAAUAAAAUGACAAAUAUUGCUUGAAUGAUUAACUAUAACAAUCCAACAGAAAAGGUGUCCAUGUAUUUGGUGUAAGUUGUAAUGAAUAAAACAUUAUUUGUCACUCCAUAAAGUUCUCAAUUAAUUGUUAAGACGGUGAAAGUAACACAAACAUUUUUAAAGAAACAAAAAAGAAAACCUUUUGUGUAAAAUUUAGGACACUUUCUUUAUACCUAGUGCCUGCUUUUAACAGGUCUGAACAUUAAAAAAAUUAAAUAAUACAUACGUAACAAGAUUUACAACUUUUAUAUUUUUAGUCAUUCUUAAGAAGUAGUUGUGUUAUUAAAUCAAAACCAAAAGGGCUAUACAUUUAAAUUUUUUUUGUGCGAAAACUUUUGAUUUUGAAACAUUACAAUGUGUAAAAAUUACUAUUUGUUGCAUCAGCAACAAAUAAACGGUAUGUUCUAGUGGCUAUAGACCAUCUACUUCUUAGAGGUUAAAUGUAACCACGUUUGCUUUAAUUUGUCAACAUUUCCAACUUUGCCUGAUUUAUAAAGAAGAAGAAGAAGAAAAAGAGAUUAAAGUGUUCUGGCUAAACACUUCCAGGGGGUUUCCAGGAUGUUGGUGUUGGAACCCCAAAAACCUCCAAGAGGAAUGAAAAAUGGUAAAACAAUGUGAAUUUACCUCUGAAGAUAACUGUACGCAAAAAUAGAAUUCACACUAGGAUAUCAGUGGGGGCCAAUAUUGUCAACUAGAGCCAAGGUUAAGACUAAAUAAGUAACCCAAGUUGUCUUAGACCUUCAUUCAACCACGUCUGCCUUAAUUUGUCAACAUAUUUAACUUUGCCUGAUUUAACGAGAAGAAAAUGCUCUGGCUUAAUCAAAAACAUUGUUAAUCCACGUGAAGUACUUUUAGUACAAGAUCAUUUGACCUCUGAAGAUCAUUCACGAAUAAACAGGCAACGUGUUGCAGGAACAUUUCGAAGUGUUCCCACCGACGUAGAAUUCAUACUGGGGCUCCAAAGGGGCCCAAUAUUUUCAACAUCGUUGUGAGGAAAUGGGUAAAACUUGGAGUUAUCUUGAAUCUGUCGCACCUUCAUUCAAUCCUUAUUACCUGCGAAGUAUUCCAGUCUGGCUCUUCCAAAAUGGCAUCUCCAGGUUUGAUAAUCAGUUCCCAGUUUCUUUGAAGAUCGAAGGGGAUUUCAACAAAGUGGCGUAAUGUUUCAGACUGAGUUCUUAACAAUUCGUUGUGGAUUUUUUGUGCUGUAAUCUGUAAUUUUUCAAUA